CUGUUGCUUGCAACAGCGAAUUGUAGUCUCGAGAAGCGUUUUCCCGGUGGACCAGUCCUGUCUAAGUUGCUUGGAACAGCACAUCGAAGAGGGUGACAAUCCCGUGCGUGACUGGACUGGCUGCCAACGAUACGCUUUCCAUGAGUCGGGUUGCUUGGGAAUGCAGCCCAAAAUUGGUGGUAAACUCCAUCUAAAGCUAAAUAUUGGCACGAGACCGAUAGCGAACAAGUACCGUGAGGGAAAGAUGAAAAGAACUUUGAAAAGAGAGUUAAACAGUGCGUGAAACCGUUAGAGGGGAAACGGAUGCAGUUAGCAAUGCUUCGGCGAGAUUCAGGCGUUUCGUUUCAUCGGACUUGCAGCGUGCGGAUCCGAAUGGACCGUCGCUGUUCGGCUCGGUGAUGUGUUCGUCGCACUUCUCGUCGGAGCGCGUCAACAGUUGUUCUGUCUGGGCGAUAAGGCACCCGGGAAGGUAGGCGGGUACUUCGGUACGUGCUGUUAUAGCCCGUGGUGAUACAAGUUCGGACGGGGCAGAGGCGAUCGGUGCAUGCUUCUCUUCGGAGAGGCUGGCGCCCUUCUCUUGACAGAAUGUCGACCAUGGCGGACUGCUUGCAGUGCGUCUGAAMUGCUUUUUGUCACUCGGGAGGAUCGUGCACACAUGCACUUUGGUUGUUGGCGGCCAUAUGGCUUCAUCCGACCCGUCUUGAAACACGGACCAAGGAGUCUAACAUGUGCGCAAGUCUUGGGGUGAUCGAAACCCAGAGGCACAAUGAAAGUAAAGGCUGCCUGGCAGCCGAGGUGAGAUCUUCGUUCUGCGCGUUCGAAGCGCAUCAUCGACCGACCUAUUCUACUCUUAGAAAGGUUUGAGUAAGAGCGCAUCUGUUGGGACCCGAAAGAUGGUGAACUAUGCCUGAGUAGGGUGAAGCCAGAGGAAACUCUGGUGGAAGCUCGUAGCGAUUCUGACGUGCAAAUCGAUCGUCGAACUUGGGUAUAGGGGCGAAAGACUAAUCGAACCAUCUA
rnacentral:rRNA from 1 species